UUUGUCAAUUGUUCUUCGCGAUAGUUGUUCUUUUAGGUGGAACUAUACAUUUUUACUUACUUUAAUUUUUUUAAUUCCCUACAAAAAAGUGCCGAGGUUAAAAUUAAGAUAAUUUUUUUAAAUUAAAACUCUUUAACUAAUCUUUAAACUAAUAUCUUUCUGUAGAGAAAUAAAAAGCGUAUAGAACAGUGUACGUAAAAAUAUAGUUCCAUUUAAAAAAGCUACGCAUCGUAGAUGAUGCCUGUUACAAGAAUUAUAGAGGUUAUGGCAUAAAAGUUGAUAUAUUUAAUUUUUCAAAAAUUUGGUUACGAAUAACCAUUAUAGAUGAUGAAACUUUUCCGCAUUACGAGUAAUCAUUACCCACGAUGAGAAUUUUAUUUUGGUUACGAAUAACUAUUAUCGAUGAUGGAAAUUUAAUUGUAUUUAGCAGUAACCAAUAUAGAUGAGCGGAAUUUUUUUUUCGUUACUAGUAAUCAUUAACGAUGGCAGGAAUUUAAUUUCGCUUACCAUUAUCGCUAAUCAUUAUCGAUGACUCGAAUUUUACUUUGGUUACGAAUUGCCUACAUGAAGAAUUAACGAUUUAUCGAUUACCGGUAAUCAUUAUCGAUGACAGAAAUUGUACUUUGGUUACAGAUAACCAUUACAAAUGAUUACAAUUUUAGAGUUCCCUCUCUUUGUUCAACGAAUCUUCGACUAGUCCAUUAAGUGUCAUGAACUAUCUAAUAGUGCUAGGAAGUACUUUAUCGAAUUUCUAGGACUUUUCUGGCGUUCCUUACGAAGAAUCUACAUAAUCUUUCGUGUUUGGAUUUUACAUAUACAAGGUGGGGGGUUCUUAACUGGAACUACUUCGAUUUCUGCGUAAGCAAUGACUUUCCUGAAAAAUAUUUUAGGUAAGAGUCGUAUGAUGUCGAGGGAGAUAAUUUGACGCGAUUAGCUGUUUCAUAGAAGAAUAUGUAGAGGACACACGAAACCUCGAAAUCUCUUUAGAAAAAUUCUUUCCGCCAUUAUACGUGCCUUUUGAAACCGUUUGUCCCGAGAAGUUUAUUCAUACAAUGAAAUGAACAAGCCAGAUAUUUAGAUGAUCUCAUUUAGAUGAAACAACCUGUAUGUUCUACCUUACCGUCUCUGCUUCUGGGCCCAGUAAGGCAAGGCAAUUUCACUUUUUUCCAGCUUUUUUACCUGAGAUUCUAAUCGUGUAUCUAAAAUCUAACACCUAAUCUUGCAUUUCUCUUUCAGAUUUAUAUUCUAUCCUCUUCCUUCUUCUUAAAUAUUACAAGUGCUUGUUUGCCAAACUAAUAAUUCUGAUGUAUAGUCCUUCGCCCACCAGAGAUACUGUGCAACCUAAUGUAUUUGUAAAGUAUUAUAGAAAAAUUAUAAAAAAAUUUACUUGCAAAUUCACAAGUAUUCUGCAUGUGGUGGACGAUACGAGAAAUUUUCUGUCCUCGAAUCUGCAGCUAUAUCUCUGCCGCAAGAGUUUGCAGUCCUGUGUAUACGACAGUGAUACGCACGCCUCGUUCUCAAUUGUUUCGAAAUUUCCUUGUUUACUGUUUACACGAUGACAGUAAACAUAGAUAGCGAAAAGUUAAAAAUUCCUCACUUUACAACGUUUAAAUUUGCAAAUACAGCAGCAAAUGCAGUAGAACGCAUUUGUACGCGGAAAAGCUGUCGUUAGAAAGAGGCCAGCAGGAAAAUGGUUUUAACGUUCCAAGGAAGGAAAUGAUUCGUUAGAUGACGUGCCGCGUUCAGGACGUCCGUCUGUCGUCGAAGAUGAGGAAUUGGAUGAAUAUAUGUGUUCAGACUCAGGAAAGAGAAAGAAGAAAAUAAAAACAAGAUAAAGAAGGAGAAAAAUAUUUCUAAUCCCGACAGAGAUGAUAACAACACACGCAUUGAUGGUGUAAGGGAAAUUUGAAGCUAAUCAGUUGAACAGAUUUCAAGAUGUUAUGGAAGCCGUCUCAGAUAAUACGGUUUUAAAAAAAUUCUAUCUAAAUAACUAUGUGUCACGAGUCACCCUCAGAAUUUCUAAAUUUCCAGAUGUAUUCUUGAAAUUAUAUAUCGAUGCAUUUUAAGAAAAUGCAAAAAUAAAAGAGAGAAAGAAAUAAGAGAAACGAAUUGUUUCUCAAGUCUGCAGUGAACAAACGCUCUAAACGAUCAAAAAGAAGAGAAAAAAUUGGCAACAUUGGCGCGUUUGAAAAUACCACGUAUUAGGUUAUGUUGGAUCUCUAGUGGGGUUAGGUACCAAAAGUCAGAAUUGUUGGUUUGGCAAAUAAGCACUUAUAACAUCUACAGAGCAAUGCAAGAUUAGGUAUUAGAUUUUGGAUAUAUUAUUAUUAUUAUUAUUAUUAUUAUGCUUAUAUCAGCGUAUAUGACAGAAAUUUGACUUCUAUGCCCUUAACAGACGCUAAGUUGUCUGAAGUUUGUUAAAUAGCUUUGUUGGAUAAUCACAGUGUCUGUUUUAUCUUAUGCAGAUAACGGAGACAUUGAGAACUAAAUCAACAAACACGAAAAAUUACAGUUUUAUUCACAGUGAGCUAUACGUAUUUAUUCAUAACAAUAGCCUUGAAUUGGUUACGAAAGAAAACAAUAUUUCUGAAGUGUUUGUUAUUUUAUAUUUUAUGUUUACCAUAUUUAUUAUUCUUCGUCGAAUGGCUGAAAAAUCGUGCGUAUCGUUAAAAGUGUUCAUCCUGGAUGGAAGUUAUUCGAGUUUAUAGCCGUCUGUAGCUACUCUUUUAUGUUUAACCGCUUUUAUGUAAGCAAAGAAGAUAAUAUCUGCGAAAAACAUUACAGGAAUACUUGUACUCAAGUACGUCGAAAUGCUGAUUUGGUUUUUGAAGCAAAUUCGAUGUAAUAUUCUGUUCGAUGUUAUAAUUUAAAAAAUAAAAAAAUAUGGAAAAAUAGGAAUUCAAAUUCUGCAAAGGUUUUGCUAAUUGUUGUACGUCGACGAAGCAUAAAAGAGGCUAUUCAUGGAACUUUAUCUAUUUUUGAAUUCAGACGAAACAAUAAUAGCAGCAUCACAUUGGCAGAAAAUCGAAAUUAUGCAUAGAAAAUUGAUUAAUAGAUAGGCGUAUGUUUCUGCAUGAUAAUACUCGGCCUCACGAAACAAAAAUAACUACAGCAAAAUUACCUGAAUAUAUAUAUCGCCAAGAUCAACUUUGGGUGAAACUUUAUUUACCUAUUAAACAAUAAAUAGCGAAUUAAACAAUAUUUUUAGUCCGAAUAAAAAUUAAAUUUAUACAGAAUUUAUAUAUAAUUAAAUAUUCAUUAUUUCUUACUUGCAAAUAAUAUUUUAUUUUUUAUUUGCAUUUAUUUCGAAAACAAAUGAUAAUAUGUAAAUAAAUGGUUUUUGGCGUUGUCCUAUCUGUUCCAUUUUGUACAACAUGAAAAAAUCGUCAAAUUAAUUAAUUAAUUACUUUUCAAUGGAUAGAUCGCAGUUCACAAUUGUGUUUAAAACUCAUCGCUUUCUGAACAAGUUGUCCCAAAGUCUAUUUGAUUUUGGCGCAUUCAUCAAAGCCAACAAACAUUAUUAAAUAUUACAAAUUUCAAUUUACGGUAAUCUCUCUGACUGAAACGUUACAUUUGUGUAAAAAUAAAUUUUCUCUACGACCGAUAAGUAAUAAGUAAAAAAUAAAUUUGUAUUUGUAAAUAACAAUCAACUUCACUGUUGUAAAUAAUGUAUUCAGACUCGUUUAGAUAA